UAUAAGUUAGAAUUAUUAUCAACUUAAUACGUCUGUAUGGAGAAGCGUGUGUUAGCCUUAAAACUCGUGGCCCCGCGUGUAGAUUAGCCAUUGGCGUCAACACAGUUUAAAAAAUCCUAGCAUUCUGAUUAUGAUCACGUGAUGUUCUAAUGAUUAUUGUUAUUAAUAACAUAAUAAUUAUCACAUAUCACGUUAAACACAUUAUUAAUUUGAUAAUUAUUAAUUAAUCAUCAUGACUGUUUGAUUUCUGUUUCUGAUUACUUGACUGAUUGCAAAGUAAGAGCUUUUACUUAUUAGAGGCUGUAUCUAAAUGCAAUUUAGAUCAAAAUAUAAACUUUAAGCUAUAACAGCUUAGAAUAACUUUUAUAAUAAAAUUGUGAUCGAACGAAUUCUGUGCAGCUAACUACAAUAAUUUAGGAAAAUCACUAUGAGGAUUCUAAGAGUUUUUGAAAAAAAACUACCGUUUUAUCAACUAGGUCACGGAACUCUACCUUAUGCGUUUUUUUGUACGCUUAUUUUACUUUUUUUACGCUUGGUCGAUAAUGUAAUUGUAUGUUCGCGAACACAGAAUUUAGAAUAUAUACAGAAAUGGUAAACGUGCGUCAGCUAAUCGCCGCGACUAGUAAAGCAACAUUUUAAAAAUGUUAGUAAAUAAGCAAUACUCUCAGAAUGAGAAUGGUUUAGGGCAUAGUCUUAGCCUAUAUGCAGAUUUUUUUACGAUUUUUUAAUGUCGUUAAAGUGAUUUUAAUCGUUUAAAACGCACCUCAAAAGUUAUGUGCGUUUUAAACAUUUUUGCUCAGACUUUCACCACUUUUUAUAAUUGCGUCGCGAAUUUACGUUACUUUUGAUGAUAGAGAGAUACUGGUAUCAAAUUAUGAGUGAUUCGGCGAAGUGAGCAACACCGCGUCCCGUAUACCAACCAAAGUUAGAUACCAUUUCUAAUACCGUAUUUAGAAUUCUGUGGUCGCAAGUA